rnacentral:rRNA from 1 species
AUUGAACGCUGGCGGCAGGCCUAACACAUGCAAGUCGAGCGGCAGCGGGAAAGUAGCUUGCUACUUUUGCCGGCGAGCGGCGGACGGGUGAGUAAUGCCUGGGAAAUUGCCCAGUCGAGGGGGAUAACAGUUGGAAACGACUGCUAAUACCGCAUACGCCCUACGGGGGAAAGCAGGGGACCUUCGGGCCUUGCGCGAUUGGAUAUGCCCAGGUGGGAUUAGCUAGUUGGUGAGGUAAUGGCUCACCAAGGCGACGAUCCAUAGCUGGUCUGGGAGGAUGAUCAGCCACACUGGAACUGAGACACGGUCCAGACUCCUACGGGAGGCAGCAGUGGGGAAUAUUGCACAAUGGGGGAAACCCUGAUGCAGCCAUGCCGCGUGUGUGAAGAAGGCCUUCGGGUUGUAAAGCACUUUCAGCGAGGAGGAAAGGUUGAUGCCUAAUACGUAUCAACUGUGACGUUACUCGCAGAAGAAGCACCGGCUAACUCCGUGCCAGCCGCCGCAGUAA